rnacentral:rRNA from 1 species
UACGUAGGGGGCAAGCGUUGUCCGGAAUCAUUGGGCGUAAAGCGCGCGUAGGCGGCCCGAUAAGUCCGCUGUGAAAGUCAAAGGCUCAACCUUUGAAUGCCGGUGGAUACUGUCGGGCUAGAGUCCGGAAGAGGCGAGUGGAAUUCCUGGUGUAGCGGUGGAAUGCGCAGAUAUCAGGAGGAACACCAAUGGCGAAGGCAGCUCGCUGGGACGGUACUGACGCUGAGGUGCGAAAGCGUGGGGAGCGAACAGG